UACGAAGGGGGCUAGCGUUGCUCGGAAUCACUGGGCGUAAAGGGUGCGUAGGCGGGUUUCUAAGUCAGAGGUGAAAUCCUGGAGCUCAACCCCAGAACUGCCUUUGAUACUGGAAGUCUUGAGUAUGGGAGAGGUGAGUGGAACUGCGAGUGUAGAGGUGAAAUUCGUAGAUAUUCGCAAGAACACCAGUGGCGAAGGCGGCUCACUGGCCCAUUACUGACGCUGAGGCACGAAAGCGUGGGGAGCAAACAGG
rnacentral:rRNA from 1 species